GUCACCUCAGGAGGUAUAAGUAAGAGGUUUGGAAUUCUCUCUGUCAUUCACUGGAUUGUGAGAGAAGCACUUGUAUCAAUUGUCUGUUUUAGAUCACAGGUCUAACUUUUUAAGACCUUCUAUCCACUAAAAGAUAUUGUCAAGAGUUAGCUGACUCAGACGCAUGUUGAUCUAAUAACCCUGAGGAAGUCCUACGGGACGAAAAGUGUUGGGUUCUUCUUCUGAUCCAUCCUAUUGAUGUAUACUGAAUCUAUGACAACAAGGAAAUGUACUCUGAGUGUCAGUCUGGGGAAUGUACAUCUGAAUAAGUUGUUAUAUUUCUGUAAAUCUCAUGGAUUGAAUUUGUGAAUACAUUUUUUAAAUCAA